ACACUGCCCCAGAAGCUGUGUUGUACUUCAAGAGGGUUGCUGUCUCACUUCAAGCCUCAACUCAUGAAGUCUUUCAUUCCUUUUAUGGAAAUUGAAAGUAGCCCUCCCCCCAUCUCCCCCACAACAAGAGACCUGUCUCUUGCUUUAGCAGAAACUAUAAAGAUCUCUUCUUGCUAUGUAUGCAGGGGAACCAACAUGGGGGAUCAAUGGCAUGGGAGGCUAAAGAAUUAGAUAUCUGCAAACCCUGUAAUGGAACAGACCUACUACCUACUACUACCGGGGUUUGGCUCCUCAAAAACUCAAUUACUGGGAAGAACUGCCUUGCCCGGUGGGGAAGAAAGUUCACCAUCCCUUUUGGAAGCUUAACAUGCCUAGGCCAAAGAUUUUAAAAUUCAGCUGCCUGGGAAACCCAAAGGCGGGGGUCCCCAGAUGACCUUGAGCCAGAUCCCCACCCCUUGUCUAACUUCUUUCAUCUCCAAGAGGCCCGGGACAAUGUCAAUGUAGCCAUUGAAUGGCAGGCCCCAGGUGGACUAUACUGGAUAUAGGGAAGGACAGUCUAUACAAUACUUCCCCCAGGCUGGUCAGGGUCAUGUGUGCUGGGAACUAUUCAUCCAUCUUUCUUCCUGCUCCAUUUCGCCAGGGAGGAACAUUUGGGAGUCAAAGUGUAUGGGGAUGGGGAGACUCAAAGGAAACGACAUGCCCUAUAAACUGGCAAUUGGAAAGAUGAUGAAUGGGCUCCCGAGUGUGUAAUCCAAUAUUAUGGCCCUGCCACCUGGGCAAAGGAUGGGUCCUGGGACUUCUGCACUCCCAUUCACAUGCUAAACCGCAUAAUCAGACUAUAAGCCAUUGUAGAAAUUAUAACUGAUGAAACUGCCAGAGCUCUUAACUUACUAGCCACGCAGCAAACCAUCUAUCAAAAUCGCUUGGCCUUAGAUUACUUGCUUCCUUCUGAGGGAGAAGUUUGUGCAAAGUUUAACCUGAGCAACCACUGCCUACAGAUAGACAAUGAAGGAAAAGUCAUAGAAGAGGUCACAGAUCAAUUGAGAAAGGUUGCUCAUGUCCCAGUCCAGACCUGGAAAGGUUGGGACUCCAGUGAGUUAUUUAGAGAAUGGUUUUCAACUCUUGGGAGAUUUAAAACCCUCAUGGCAAUUAUCCGCUUGAUUUGGGGAGUUUGCUUAACCCUACCUUGCCUCGCUCCCCUGGUUAUAUGGCCUCCAGCCUCACGGAGGCAAUGGUCGAAAGGAAAAUGGCCACACAGGUGAUGGUGUUAUGGAAAUAUAAACCUCCAAACCAAGAUGAUGCUCUUUGACCCCAAACAGGGGGGUCCAAGCAUCAAAGGGUGGAAUGUGGUAGAACCCCUCCCUAAGGAAUGUGAUGAAAACCUCAAAACAAGGGAAGGCAACCUAGCUAUGUGCACGUAUGUGACAUUCCUCACGACUCUGUAACAUAGAUCACCCAAUCAGACUGUAUGUCUGUAUGUUACUGUGUAUGGGAGACAAAGAACUAGAAAUUGUAUAAAAGGCUACACGCUGCUUCAUUCAGGGCUCAGUCUUUAGGGUAUGAACCCACAGAACCCGUGCUAGCACGAGUAAAGUUGCUCCCUAAAAGAAAAGCCUCAGUGUCAUGGCUCUCUGUGCAACCUUGGUCCCAUUACAGCAAGUAACUAAUAUGGGCUAAAUGGAGAAUAACCAGCACAAAAUCUAUUAAUCUCAAGUACUAUGUUGACCGCAAUGACAUCCCUGAUUACCUUGGCUGGAAAUUAUUUUGCCUACCUUUCUGUAUUCUCUUUGGUACUUCUUUAUGGACCACUCAUAUAAUUCAAAUGGAAUGCUCUGAAGUUAUUGUUACAUUUGCAUACAAAGUAUAUUUUCAUCCUAACCAGAUUAUAACAUUCUUUAGAACAAAAACCUUGUCAUGUACAUCUUUGUAUCCUGUGAAAAUCCUAGCACAGUGCUUUGAACAGAGUGGACAUUCUGUAAUUGGUAAAUGAGGAAGAAAGCUUCCAUUUGUCCAUCUGUAAAUGGAAAAUAAAAAUUUCCACUGACUCGCCUUUCAGAGAUAAUAAUGGCAGUGUUUCCCAGAAACAAUUUCUGCACCUGCAACAGAAUGAUACAUCUGAAACACCCAAUCCUGCUGAAGCAAUUCCUCAGAAAAAAUUGCAUCUAGUUUUAGCAUGCCCUCCAUUCUAUGUGGAGCUGAAACUUGGGCAGUUUCACCCUGAGGAGGAAAAGACAGGGGAUAAUUAAGAAAAUAUAAGAGCUCAGUAUUGGUGUUUUCUCAGGAACUUUGGUUCAUCCAGUAGAUAUUUAUCAAAGGACUAUUAUGUUCAAGUACAGUCUGUAAAUGCUGGGAAAACACACACACACAAAGAAUAAGGCAUGAUCCCAAGUGAGUAAUUGUCACACAAUUUGAUGAAUGUUUUUUAUAAGAAGAAAAUUCUAUGGAACCAGAAAGAAGGGAAUGAUUAACUCUACUGAUGGGCAUUUCACCAAAAAAAAGUCACAUUCAAGCUGGUCUUUUAGGACUUCAUCAGGCAGAGGCAAUGUCAAGAGCAUUCGGGGACCAAGAGAAAUAAUUUUGCCUGAACUGUUGCCAAGCAAACCGCACCCUCAGCUCAGCCCUAUUGUAUUCACAAAGACCUAUUUUUAUUCAUUAUCCCCACAGCUACUUUUUAAGAAAGGAGGAGCAUGCUGAGUACUUCCUAUUUUGCAUCUUGGUACUUUGUGUAUCAAAGAAAGAUUAUCCGUAAGGAAAGCAGAGGUUAACUUGUAACAGGUCUAAUAAUGACUAGUCCGAAUAGCCAUCCAGUGAACUAAUGAACUCUCUUACUUUUCCUCAGCUUCUACUUCAUCCCUGAAAAGUGAGGCAGGCUAUCCUCUGCAAGUGCAUGGUACCAGCUCAGAAGAAAGCAGGCAAGGCAUGAGAGCACCCUCUGGUCUCACUGCCCAGCACGAGGAGGCAUAGGGCUGAAGCCCUUUUCCCUCCCCUAGGGUGACCUUCACAUUACUUUUUGAGGAAUAGAUGAGUUUGGUCAAUAGAUGAGUCUGACCGCCCAGUUUCUCUCCCAGGACAGUCCUACUAGGCCUCUGAGACCAGAGCUGGCUGCUUCCAAGUAGGGCAAAACUCAGGAAAGCAGCCAGGAGGGAAAGACCAGUCUAAACCCACCCAGGGGCAGAGGGUUUUCCAUCUUCAGCCUGUAGCGCCUCCUGGAAAGUAGGGAAGCUGGGAAACCAGAUUCCAGCCUCAAAGUACACAUCACUUGUCUUUGUUUUCUCAAGAAGCCUCUACCUUCCAGACCUUGCCAAGAAGCUAGUGGCAUUUUCAUGAAGCAGUAAUAACAAGGACAGAGCGUUCUAGCCUGCUGGAGCCUACUGCCCGGUCACUCUUUCCACUGCCUUUUGUUUUCAUGCAUCAUUCCCUCACUUGCUUCUCAGAUUCCUCAGGGCUUUGAAAAAGCCGCAAAUGCUCCCCGCGGUGACACCACCCAGCGUGCUGGCAGACGUUACUGACUCGCACCCUGCCCUAAGCCAUGGCAUGUAUGCAAGCCUGACAACUGACACCCAGCCAUACACCUAGUAAGAAGUAAGACAACUUCUAAAAAGCACCGCCCCCCCCCACCCCCCACACACACAUCGUAAGCCUAGCUAGCAAAGGUAGGACUUUAGAUUAAGUACUACCCUAUGGACUGGUAAAUCACAUACCCCCAUUUGAUUCAAAAUGAAUCAGUAAAGCAUGUUGCGGAGUGGUACUUCUCUAUCCUUUCUUCAAGAAUCUAAAUGGAGCAACACGGGUGUUACCAACAAAGCACUGAAGUACUCUCACUGUGCUAAUUCACUUAUCUGUAUAUUAGACUGCAUACAGACAUACAUACAUGGGAGCAGAGGUUCUCAGUGAUAUUUGUGUUUGAGUAUCACCUGUGGCCUGUUUCAAAAUACACUGCAGACCUACCCUACCCGAAUCUGAAAAUAAGGCCUAUGUGACGUGUAUUUUUAUUUUUCAAUUAUUAUUAUUAUUAUUAUUAUAUUUUUGAAGUUUAUUUUUACUUUAUUUUGGAGAAAGACACAGACAGCAAUGGUGGGGACCAUCCAGGUGCCCCCUUUUUCUUUUUUUAAAGCAGAUAUGUGUAUUUUUAAAAGGCUUGACAGUGUUGGUUAGAAUAUGGGAAAGAGAGGGGCGCCUGGGUGGCUCAGUCGGUUGAGCGUCUGACUUUGGCUCAGGUCAUGAUCUUGCAUUCAUCGGUUCAAGCCCCACAUUCAGGCUCUGUGCUGACAGUUCAGAACCUGGAGACUGCUUUGGAUUCUGUGUCUCCCUCUUUCUCUUCUCCCCCUCCUCCCCUGCUCAUGCUCUCUCUCUCUGUCUCUCAAAAAAUAAAAUAAAACAUAAAAAAAAUUAAGAAUACAGGAAAGAGAAAUUCUCACAUAUCCCUAACAAGAGUAAAAAUUAGUUUAGCCACUGUGGAGAGUAAUCUAGAGAGCAAUCUAAUAACUUUGAAAAUGUACAUAUUCCUUUCUCUAGUAAUUUCCAUUCUAGGUAUAUUCUCUAGAAUUCUCAUACAUGAACCCAAGGAGGCAUAUGCAAGGACAUUAAUUACAUCAUGAUUUGAAGUAGCAAAAACCUAGACAACACAAAUAUUCAUCCUCAGAAUAGAUCCUAGAAUAUUUAUACAAUGGGAUUAUAUUGCAGUACUGUAUAGUAUAAUAUUGCUACAUUACAAAGAAUGGAAUGGUUCUACUAGUAUCACAUAGAUAAAUCUCAAAAACUUGAUGUUGGAAAAAAAGUUUCAGAAAAAUGUGAACACUAUUUAUCUACAUAUUUAAACACCCAAAACAUAUAUGGUAUGUAGUAAAAAUAUAAAAACAUGUGGGAAAGGGUCCCAGUGUCUUCAAGACAUUGGUUACAUCUGAAGAGAGAUAGGAUGGCAGGGCUUCUUUUGUAACUAUUUUUUUUUUUUAUUCUUUUAAAAAAAUCUGAAGCAACUAUGGCAACUUGUUAUAAUUUAUUAAAUCUGGUUAGUGAAUGUAAAUCCUGCUGGUUACUCUGAGGGUCAUCCAUAAUAGAGGGACCUUUUGAGAUUUUUAGGAUUCUCAAAUACUGAAAAUAAAAGUUUGUUUAUGGAAAUGAGCCGUUCCCAUAAAUACAGAUGACACUGCUGAGUCCUCUUAAUAAUCUAUGCACCUUGAGAUGUUUUUCUUUUUUUCUUUUCUUCUUCUUCUUUUUUUUUUAAGGUGUUUUUCAUUAAUGGAGGAGUUGUCGCAUAGAUUCACACACACUCUCUUACUCCGAACUUGACAAGCUGACCCUACAGUUCAUAUGGAAAUGCAACCCAGAAUAGCCACUCUUGAAGAGACAGAACAAAGUUGGAAGAUGUUCAUUUCCCAAUUUCAGACCUACAGCAAAACUAAAAAAACUACAAUAAUCAAGACAUAAGACAUAAGGAUACACAUAGAGAUCAAUGAAAUAGAAUUGAGUCCAAAAAUAAACCCUCACAUUUAUGGUCAAAUUGAUUUUUCGACAAGGGUGCCAAAACAAUUCAAUAUAGUAAGAAAAGUUUUUGCAAUAAAUGGUGCUGGGAUGACUGGAUAUGCACAUGUAAAAGAAUGAAGUCAGAUUAUACCUCACACCAUACAAAUAAAUUAACUCCAAAUGGACCAUAGACCUAAAUGUAAGACUUAAAAUUAUAAAACUCAUAGAGGAAAAACAUAGAAGUAAAUCUUUAUGACCUUGGAUUUGGCGAUGGUUUUGAGCUAUGUCACCAAAAGCAGAAGUAACAAAAGAAAAUAAUAGAUAAAUUAGACUUUAAAAUUAAAAACUUUUGUGCUUCACAGGACACCAUCAAGAAAGUAAAAAGACAACCCACAGGAUGGGAGAAAACCUUUGAAAAUCAUAUAUUUUACAAGGAACUUAUAUCCAGAGUGUAUAAAAACCUCCAACCCAGUAAUAAAAUGACAAAUACCCGGUUAAAACAUGGGCAAGGAAUUUGAAUAAAUAUUCCUCCAAAAAAUGCCUGCAAAUCGCCAAUAUGUACAAGAAGUGAUAUUCAACUUCACUAAUCAUUAAGGGAAUACAGAUUAAAACCACAAUGAGAUACCUCUUCACACCUGCAACGAUGGCUUUCAUAAAAACAGACAAUAACAAGUGUUGAUGAGGAUGUAGAGAAAUUGGAACCUUUAUAUAUUGCUAGCAGACAUGGAAAAUGAUGCAGCUACUUUGGAAAAGUUUGGCAGUUUCUCAAAAUGCUAAACAUGGAGUCACCAGAUUACUCAACAGUUCUAGUCCUAGGCACGUACUCAGGAGAAAUGAAAACAUAUCUUCACCGAAAACUUAUACGUGAAUGUUCAUAGCAGCUUUACUUAUAAACAGCUAAAACGUGUAGACAACCUAUGUCCAUAAAUCAAUGAAUGGAUGAACAAAAUGUGGCAUAUCCAAUCAGUGGAAUAUUUUCAGCCAUAAAAAAGAACAUGGGUGAAACUUGAAAACAUGCUAAGUGAAAAAAGCUAUUCACAAAAGACCACAUAUUGUAGAUAAGGUCUUUAAAGAGAUAAGUAAAUUAAAAUGAGGUCUUUAGGGUGGGCCCUAGUCCAAUAUGACUGGUGGCCUUAUAAGAAGAGGAAAUUUGGAUGCAUACAGAGAUGACAGGGCUGUGCCUGCUCAGAGAAAAGACCAGCUGAGGAUAUAACAAGAAGGGAGCCAUGUGCAAGCCAAGGAGAGAGGACUCAGGAGAAACCACUCCUGCUGACACCUUGAACUUGACUUCUAGCCUCCAACACUGUGAAAAAAUAAAUCUCUGUUGUUUAAGCCACUUAGUUUGUGGUAUUCUAUUAUGGCAGCCAUGGCAAACUAGUGGUUGUUUGAAUAUGUAAUAAUGAUGUGGUAUAUACGAAAGGCCUAUGCUUUGAAUUAUUGUAUUUUGCAGGGUGGCAUCUUCUGAUCACUCGUGUCACCAAUUAUUAGAAAUAUGAGAACUUACGUAAGAGACUCUUAAAAACUGAGAACAAACUGAGGAUUGAUGGAGGGUGGGAGGAAGGGGAGGGUGGGUGAUGGGUAUUGAGGAGGGCACCUGUUGGGAUGAGCACUGGAUGUUGUAUGGAAACCAAUUUGGCAAUAGAUUUCAUAUUAAAAAAAGAAA